CUUUGGACAAUGGUAGGAGAGCGUUCUAAGGGCGUUGAAGCAUGAUCGUAAGGACAUGUGGAGCGCUUAGAAGUGAGAAUGCCGGUGUGAGUAGCGAAAGACGGGUGAGAAUCCCGUCCACCGAUUGACUAAGGUUUCCAGAGGAAGGCUCGUCCGCUCUGGGUUAGUCGGGUCCUAAGCUGAGGCCGACAGGCGUAGGCGAUGGAUAACAGGUUGAUAUUCCUGUACCACCUAUAAUCGUUUUAAUCGAUGGGGGGACGCAGUAGGAUAGGCGAAGCGUGCGAUUGGAUUGCACGUCUAAGCAGUAAGGCUGAGUAUUAGGCAAAUCCGGUACUCGUUAAGGCUGAGCUGUGAUGGGGAGAAGACAUUGUGUCUUCGAGUCGUUGAUUUCACACUGCCGAGAAAAGCCUCUAGAUAGAAAAUAGGUGCCCGUACCGCAAACCGACACAGGUAGUCAAGAUGAGAAUUCUAAGGUGAGCGAGCGAACUCUCGUUAAGGAACUCGGCAAAAUGACCCCGUAACUUCGGGAGAAGGGGUGCUCUUUAGGGUUAACGCCCAGAAGAGCCGCAGUGAAUAGGCCCAAGCGACUGUUUAUCAAAAACACAGGUCUCUGCUAAACCGUAAGGUGAUGUAUAGGGGCUGACGCCUGCCCGGUGCUGGAAGGUUAAGAGGAGUGGUUAGCUUCUGCGAAGCUACGAAUCGAAGCCCCAGUAAACGGCGGCCGUAACUAUAACGGUCCUAAGGUAGCGAAAUUCCUUGUCGGGUAAGUUCCGACCCGCACGAAAGGCGUAACGAUUUGGGCACUGUCUCAACGAGAGACUCGGUGAAAUCAUAGUACCUGUGAAGAUGCAGGUUACCCGCGACAGGACGGAAAGACCCCGUGGAGCUUUACUGUAGCCUGAUAUUGAAAUUCGGCACAGCUUGUACAGGAUAGGUAGGAGCCUUUGAAACGUGAGCGCUAGCUUACGUGGAGGCGCUGGUGGGAUACUACCCUAGCUGUGUUGGCUUUCUAACCCGCACCACUUAUCGUGGUGGGAGACAGUGUCAGGCGGGCAGUUUGACUGGGGCGGUCGCCUCCUAAAAGGUAACGGAGGCGCUCAAAGGUUCCCUCAGAAUGGUUGGAAAUCAUUCAUAGAGUGUAAAGGCAUAAGGGAGCUUGACUGCGAGACCUACAAGUCGAGCAGGGUCGAAAGACGGACUUAGUGAUCCGGUGGUUCCGCAUGGAAGGGCCAUCGCUCAACGGAUAAAAGCUACCCCGGGGAUAACAGGCUUAUCUCCCCCAAGAGUUCACAUCGACGGGGAGGUUUGGCACCUCGAUGUCGGCUCAUCGCAUCCUGGGGCUGUAGUCGGUCCCAAGGGUUGGGCUGUUCGCCCAUUAAAGCGGUACGCGAGCUGGGUUCAGAACGUCGUGAGACAGUUCGGUCCCUAUCCGUCGUGGGCGUAGGAAAUUUGAGAGGAGCUGUCCUUAGUACGAGAGGACCGGGAUGGACAUACCUCUGGUGUACCAGUUGUCGUGCCAACGGCAUAGCUGGGUAGCUAUGUGUGGACGGGAUAAGUGCUGAAAGCAUCUAAGCAUGAAGCCCCCCUCAAGAUGAGAUUUCCCAACUUCGGUUAUAAGAUCCCUCAAAGAUGAUGAGGUUAAUAGGUUCGAGGUGGAAGCAUGGUGACAUGUGGAGCUGACGAAUACUAAUCGAUCGAAGACUUAAUCAA
rnacentral:rRNA from 2 species